CGUGACAUGAGGCAGUAACGAAAACAGUUUUUCCUCCUAUCAUUGCUAUCCAGUAAUAAGCCUGUGAUUGGCUGCAUGCUCAUUAACUGAUGAUUGACAGGUGCAUUUACCAAUGAAGAGUGAGGAUGAAUUGGCUACCAUGAGCUACUCUUUUUAGCUAGAGUUUGUAAAAGUGUUUUUUGCGAUCUUGACCUGUGCAGGUUCUCAAAGUCAUUCAUCUUUUAACUUCACUUUUUGUUCCCCAUCGCCCCACUGGAGGGACAUAGAAAUGCUGUCUAUGCUCCCUAUAAUUUUUCAUAGAUUUGAGACAAGUUUCCCAAAUUUGCAGCAGGGUUCCAUCUCUUGAAGGUCAAGGCUAAGUUCCAUGAUGAGUGACCUUUACCAAACACAGAAGUUCACACAGCCAAAAAAACAAACAAACAAACAAACAAACUAGCUUGAAACACUGCAAUCCAUAUAACUUUUAAGAUAUUUGAGACACAUUUACCAAAUUUGCAGAGAGGGUGCAUCCCUUGAAGGUCUAAGUUAAGUUCGAUGAUGAGCGACCUUGACCAAAUAUUGAAGGUCACAGAGCCAAAACUAAUCUCUCAGAUACAUAUUACACCCUAUAG